CGGUCGCCUCGACGGCGGCCUCGGCGUCGUCGAGGUUGUGCACCUCGAGCGCCUCGUCGACGGCCUCGUCCGCUUCGGGGUCGGCCGCC
rnacentral:tRNA from 1 species